rnacentral:rRNA from 1 species
UACGGAGGAUGCGAGCGUUAUCCGGAUUUAUUGGGUUUAAAGGGUGCGUAGGCGGGCUUUUAAGUCAGCGGUAAAAAUUCGGGGCUCAACCCCGUCCGGCCGUUGAAACUGGGGGCCUUGAGUGGGCGAGAAGAAGGCGGAAUGCGUGGUGUAGCGGUGAAAUGCAUAGAUAUCACGCAGAGCCCCGAUUGCGAAGGCAGCCUUCCGGCGCCCUACUGACGCUGAGGCACGGAAGUGCGGGGAUCGAACAGG